UUGGAAUCUUGUAUGAAUGGUUGGAUAAAAGAAAUACUGUCUCUUAUAUUUUUAUUGAAUUUAACUUUUAAGUGAAAAGGCUUAAAUAUUUUAAAAAGACGAUAAGACCCUAUAAAGCUUUAUAAUUAAUUUUAUUUGAUUGAAUUGAUAUAUAAAAUUUUAAUAAAUUAUAUUAUUUUGUUGGGGAGACAAAAUUAUAAUUUUGAAUAACUGUUAAUAAUUGACACAAUUAUAUUUGGGUAAUUGUAAUGAUAGAUCCUUAGUAAAGAUUAAAAGUUCAAGUUACUUUAGGGAUAACAGCGUUAUUUUUCUUGAGAGUUCAUAUCGAAAGAAAAGAUUGCGACCUCGAUGUUGAAUUAAAAUUUCUAAAUAAUUGCAGAAGUUAUUAUAGAGGGUCUGUUCGACCUUUAAAUUUUUACAUGAUUUGAGUUCAGACCGGCGUAAGCCAGGUUGGUUUCUAUCUUUUAAUAGGUGUAUAAUUAUCUUAGUACGAAAGGAUUAGAUAAUUAAAAGUAUUUUAUUAAAGUGGAGAA
rnacentral:rRNA from 1 species